rnacentral:lncRNA from 1 species
UUUGAAGAUUGUUUAUCCAGAGCAUGAAGGACUGACCAGCUCCAGAUUGUAUUUUCAGAGAGUAUGAUCAUUAGCUCUGCUAAGUCCUGCUUCUCAAGUUCUUUCCUUCAGUGAGUGAGAACAUAUAUUGUCUUCUUAUCCAGGUAAGAGACAGAAACCUCCUAGACAC